rnacentral:rRNA from 1 species
GACGAACGCUGGCGGCGUGCUUAACACAUGCAAGUCGAACGGAAAGGCCCUGCUUUUGUGGGGUGCUCGAGUGGCGAACGGGUGAGUAACACGUGAGUAACCUGCCCUUGACUUUGGGAUAACUUCAGGAAACUGGGGCUAAUACCGGAUAGGAGCUCCUGCUGCAUGGUGGGGGUUGGAAAGUUUCGGCGGUUGGGGAUGGACUCGCGGCUUAUGAGCUUGUUGGUGGGGUAGUGGCUUACCAAGGCUUUGACGGGUAGCCGGCCUGAGAGGGUGACCGGCGACAUUGGGACUGAGAUACGGCGCAGACUCCUACGGGAGGCAGCAGUGGGGAAUAUUGCACAAUGGGCGGAAGCCUGAUGCAGCAACGCCGCGUGCGGGAUGACGGCCUUCGGGGUGUAAACCGCUUUCGCCUGUGACGAAGCGUGAGUGACGGUAAUGGGUAAAGAAGCACCGGCUAACUACGUG